rnacentral:rRNA from 1 species
CCUACGGGCGGCACCAGUGGGGAAUAUUGCACAAUGGGCGCAAGCCUGAUGCAGCCAUGCCGCGUGUAUGAAGAAGGCCUUCGGGUUGUAAAGUACUUUCAGCGGGGAGGAAGGCGGUGAGGUUAAUAACCUCGCCGAUUGACGUUACCCGCAGAAGAAGCACCGGCUAACUCCGUGCCAGCAGCCGCGGUAAUACGGAGGGUGCAAGCGUUAAUCGGAAUUACUGGGCGUAAAGCGCACGCAGGCGGUCUGUUAAGUCAGAUGUGAAAUCCCCGGGCUUAACCUGGGAACUGCAUUUGAAACUGGCAGGCUUGAGUCUCGUAGAGGGGGGUAGAAUUCCAGGUGUAGCGGUGAAAUGCGUAGAGAUCUGGAGGAAUACCGGUGGCGAAGGCGGCCCCCUGGACGAAGACUGACGCUCAGGUGCGAAAGCGUGGGGAGCAAACAGGAUUAGAUACCCCCGUAGUC